CAAUCAAAAUUUUAGCUUACAACUAAUUAUUCCUAAAGGUUGAUUGA
rnacentral:tRNA from 1 species